rnacentral:rRNA from 1 species
UCAGCCUACGGGGCGCAGCAGUGGGGAAUAUUGCACAAUGGGGGAAACCCUGAUGCAGCGACGCCGCGUGAGUGAAGAAGUAUUUCGGUAUGUAAAGUUCUGUUGAAGGGGAAAAAGAGCGGAGAGAGGAAAUGAACUCCGAUUGAUAUUACCCUUCGAGGAAGUCACGGCUAACUACGUGCCAGCAGCCGCGGUAAUACGUAGGUGGCGAGCGUUAGCCGGAAUGAUUGGGCGUAAAGGGUGCGUAGGCGGCCUGCUAAGUCUGGAGUGAAAGGUACCGGCUCAACCGGUACAGGCUCUGGAAA